CCCUUAGAUGUUCUGGGCCGCACGCGCGCUACACUGACGAAGUCAGCGAGCAUGUCCUACGCCGACAGGUGCGGGGAAUCUUGUCAAACUUCGUCGUGAUGGGGAUUGAUUAUUGAAAUUCUUGAUCAUCAACGAGGAAUUCCUAGUAAGCGCAAGUCAGCAGCUUGCGUUGAUUACGUCCCUGCCCUUUGUACACACCGCCCGUCGCUACUACCGAUUGAAUGGUUUAGUGAGAUCUUCGGAUUGGCGCCACGGCGGCUCAGCAAUGGGCUCGGUGGAUGCCGAAAAGUUGAUCAAACUUGAUCAUUUAGAGGAAGUAAAAGUCGUAACA
rnacentral:rRNA from 1 species